ACGCCGAGUUGCGCAACAUUUAUGAAACAUGUUCGACAUAAACCAAUGAAAUGGGUGGACACUGCCUGCCCAUACAGUAGAAUAAGGCUGCUUUAGGGAACGUCUCCAGAAAAGGUCAGCGGUCCACUUUACAUACACAGAUAUCUCCGGAAAUGAUAAGACAAAGCGGCGAGAAGAGGGCUGACUUGGGAAGAAGCCCCCCCCCCACCAACCAUCCCUCCUAAACCCCCUCCUCGGGGACUACAGACCUCCACACUUGUCAGCUGUCUCCCACAGGUUCAACCAGUGGACAUUAGCACAGCGGCAGUGGGAUGGGCCGCGGUGAUUAUAAUACCUUCCAUUUGAUUAUGGCUUCAUCAUUAUUGUUUAUACUAUG